UAGCGAGGGGCGGGGCCGGCGCUGCGGGGUGAAAUCCGCACCCCGCGAAGAUGCUGCUGGACCUGUCCGAGGAGCAUAAGGAGCACCUGGCCUUCCUGCCGCGAGUGGACAACGCGGUGGUCGCCGAGUUUGGGCGGAUUGCGGUGGAGUUUCUGCGGCGGGGUGCGAACCCCAAGAUCUACGAAGGCGCCGCCAGAAAACUCAGUGUGAGUAGUGACACCGUGCAGCGUGGUGUGGAAGGGUUAACAUACCUCCUCACUGAGAGCUCCAAGCUCAUGAUUUCUGAACUGGAUUUCCAAGACUCUGUUUUUGUUCUGGGAUUCUCAGAAGAAUUGAACAGACUACUUCUUCAGCUCUAUCUGGACAACAGAAAGGAGAUCAGAACUAUUCUGAGUGAAUUGGCACCAGACCUUCCCAGUUACCACAGCCUUGAGUGGAGGCUAGAUGUACAGCUUGCAAGCAGAAGCCUCAGACAGCAGAUUAAACCAGCAGUGACAAUAAAGCUGCACCUUAAUCAGAACGGAGAUCACACCACGCAGGUCCUGCAGACAGACCCCGCUACCCUGCUUCACUUGGUCCGGCAGCUGGAACAAGCCCUGGAGGAGAUGAAGACAAGCCACUGCAGGAGAGUUGUCCGCAACAUCAAAUAGGACCAGUUUGAAGGGUUUCAUCCUCUUGAAUCAUUGAGAGGAGAGAGACUGCCAGGGAACGGAGUCCAGUGGGAGACAAGCACACUUGACGUUGCAGCCCAUGGUGUCCCUUGCAGCUCCUCUCUGCCCAGGAACCCAAAGGACUGAAGUAUGCUUAUGGGCAUGAGUCCAUAAGAUUCUACAUACCAGUAUGGGGAAAUAGAGGAAAAGUGAUUUUUUUUCCUUAAUAGGCUCAAAGUUAAAGAAAUAUCGGAAGUACGAGUAGCUGUAUUGAUGUAUCCUGAAACUUGGCUUUUACUCAGGGUUUUUGCCAUCCUAAACGCAAGCAACUUUUUAUAAGAUUAAUUAUUUUUUUAUAAUUAUAGCAAAAAUUGCAUUUAUUAUAAUUAGAAAUAUUACUAAUUAUACAGCCAUCAGAGUAACAGGCCAUGUUCUGUUUGUUAUGCAUGGAACAGUCUGGCCAGCAACCAGUUAAAAAGAGAAGCAAAACAGAAGAGAGGAUUUUUGCCCUUUCUCUGAAGCCCUGGUAGCACAGUGGUUAAGAGCUUGGCUGCUAACCAAAAGGUCGGCAGUUUGAAUCCACCAGCCACCCCUUGGAAGCCCUAUGGGGCUGUUCUACUCUGUCCUAUAGGGUCACUAUGAGUUGGAAUUGACUCGAUGGCAAUGGGUUUUUUUUUUUCUUUUUUUAACCAACCAUAUGAGAUCUUUUAAAUCUUCUAAUCUUAAUGCUUUUUCUCUUUUACCCUGAGCUAUAUAAUUCAUCCACUUAGGUAUUGCAUUUUGUUAAUGGGAAAAACAAAGCAAAAUUUAAAACCUCUUGUAACUCUUUUUUACAUGGUGCAGACUCAGUUUUGUUAAGCAUUCAUUAAGAGCUGCGAGUGAUCUGUGUAGUAUGUCAGGCAAAGGAUAAAUUCCAAAUCUUCUCAGAGUUCAGAACGCUCUCAGGCCAUUCUGUCCCCUGGUGUAGUUUAACCCAUAAGCUCAUUAGGCUGCAGAAAGGGAUCUGCUGAGGAGACUGUGCUGAGAAGGGGAGUUGUCUGCUCUAUUGUAUGUUGGAACUACUUUUCCUUGAAACUCCACCUUCUGGAAGGCAAAACUCCGAUAGGAUGCAGUGGCUGGCACUGUAGAAACGUGCAGAGGAAAGGCUAGAUCACUACAGAGGACUGUAGAAUACUCGGACACGGCCAGGAUGGCAGAAAUUAUUCUUACCCCUUGUCCGUUGAAGUGGGGUUCCCUGAGGUAACCGGAGGUGUGAUGGGAAAAGCAAAUUGAGGUCUCUCUUACCUGCAUUCCAGUGUUGUGAUUGUCCUAAGCCCAAUGAGAAGCGGAUGCCUGUGGUUUUGAAGGAAUGUGCUUAGUUCACAGAACGAAAAGGCUUCUCGGUUAGCUCAAAGACUAAAAACACAGAGAUUGAAAUCCAGAGAAUGAGGAAAAGAAAAUCCAGGGAAGUCUUUGAGUUUCAUCAGGGCAAGUGUAGAUGGUUAGGAUAUGAUUUCUUGGUAUAGCCUGAAACCCGUAUGCUUUUAUCCCAAAUAAACACAAAGUUCUUACAAAGGUCCAGCAAGUUUAAAUGCUGCAGUAUAAGGAAUUGCUUCAUUUGCAGCUGAGACUCUUGCACGAUUCAUAGAAUGGAGAAGAGAAAACCAAAAAAGACUACAGAUGGUAUUUUUUCAGUACCUGAAAAAAAAAAUGAGCAAGUCACCAUAUACUUUUCAAAAAGGCCAAAGUGAUUUGUCUUAAAGUAUACGAAGUAUAAUUCAAAGUUCUUUGUGUUUUCAGUUCAAGUCCCCAAGGAUAAAAUUAUUGUGUACUCUUUUCUAUGCUUUUUUCUUCUACCCUUUGUCUUUUUCCCAACAUAAAUACCAAACUCCAUGCCUUUCAUGAGCCCUUGGAACAAUUUCUUUUUAUGCCAGACCUCUCUUCAAGACUCCUCUCCCCCUUUUAAAAGAUUAUUUUUUUUAAUUGACAUAUAAUCCACGUAACAAAAUCACCCUUUCAAAGUGUACAACUCAGUGGUUUUUAAUAGGUUCCCAGAGCUGUGCAGCCAUCACCACUAUAUAAUUCCAGAACCUUUUUAUUACCCCAAAAAGAAUCCCUGUACCCACCCAUGAGCAGUCGUUCCUAAUUCCCCCCUCCCCAAUGCCCCUGACAGCCAUUAAUCUGCUUUCCGUGUCUGUAGAUUGGCCUGUUCUGGACAUUUCCUAGAAAUGGAAUCUUGUAUGGCCUUCCAUGUCUAGCUUCUUUCACUCAGCAUAAUGUUUGCCAGGUUCGUCCAUGUUGUAGCAUGUCUGUCAGUCCUUCAUUUUUUUAUGACUGAGUCAUAUCCCACUGUAUGGAUACUCUCUUUUUACAGUAUUUGAUUGAGUCUUAUUCCUGGUCUUACCUGGAAUUAAAUCGUUACAUUUUAUUUUACAAUGUUCAUGGGAGAACCUCUAGCAGACUUAGUAGUGUGUUUUCUACAUGAUUGUUGUUUAGAAUUUCUUCCCAGAUACAAGUUAGAAAAGUCUGAAAGAAAUUUCUUCCCAGCCAGUAAUUAGUAGAAUUAUUCUCCAGUGGUUAGAUGUUUUUAUUUUUGGCCUUAUGCAAAAAUUAUACCAGGUAGGGAGCCAAUCAGAUAAGCUGUUCAAGGAACUCAUAGCUGAAACCAGCUCCAAAGAAAAGUGGAUCAGUAUUAUAUGCUUUUUUAUUUAAACCCUGAGAACUUCCCACUGAGUUGAGGGCAUUUGUCAGAUUUAGGGAAGAUUUGGAUUGGGCAAAUUUGCUGCAAAAUACCUCUUUAAAGUGUUGAAAAGCAAAGAUGUCAGUUUGAGGACUAAGGUGCACCUGAUCCAAGCCGUGAUACUUUGGGUCACCUCAUACGCAUGGGAAAGCUGGACACUAAAUAAGGAAAACCGAAGAAGAAUUGAUGCCUUUGAAUUAUGGGUUGGAGAAGAAUAUUGAAUAUACCAUGGACUGCCAGAAGAAUGAACAAAUCCAUCUUGGAAGAAGUACAGUGGAGUGUUCCUUGGAAGCGAGGAUGGCAAGACUUUGUCUCACAUACUUUGGACAUGUUACGCGAAGGGACCAGUCCCUGGAGAAGGACGUCAUGCUUGGUAAGAUAGAGGUUCAGCAAAAAAGAGGAAAACCCUCAACGAGAUGGAUUGACACAGUGGCAGCAACAAUAGGCUCAAACAUAGCAACAAUUGUGAGGAUAGCACCGGACGGGACAGUGUUUUGUUCUGUUGGACAUAGGGUCAUUAUGAGUUGGAACCUACUCAACGGCACCUGACAACAAUAACGACAUAAAAAAAACUAACACGUGAGGAACGUGCUUAGUUCAGUCAAGUAUAUGAGACCAAAUGGGUGACAUCUGCCCAAAAGCAAAGACUAGAAGGCAGGAAGUGACAGGAUAACUGACAAAUGGAUGUGGAGAACCCAAGGUGGAAAGAGAAAGGGGAAGAGUGUUGACAUAUUGCAGGGAUUACAACCAAUGUCAGAAAACAAUUUGUGUAUAAAUUUUUUAAUAAAAAAUCUGCACUGUAAGCUUUCACCUAAGAUACAAUAAAAUUAAAAAUAAUAAUAGUCUACUUCUCUCCAUUCACAUUACCCCCAUGCUACUUGGUUCACCAUUAUCCCCUGCCUGGUCUACUGUGUCUGCAUCUAGUUCACUGGUCUCCCUGACUCCCUCUUAUUAAGGACUCUACUGUCCCCCCUGCCGCCCCACCUGACACACACGCAGCCAUGCAUUCCCUACAUAGCAGCCAGAAUUAUCUUCCAGAAAGAGAAAUCGCGUCCUUCAUGUGCUUAAAGUCUUCUGUAGAUUUGCAGUGCUUUUGGGAUAAAGUGCAGACUUCUUAACAUUGCUUAUAAAACCCUUCCUAAUUUAGUUCCUGCCUUUAUCUUCAGCCUUUUCUCUCCAGCGUUCUCAUGUUCUUUCAGUUCCCUUGCUUCUUCAUUGAACUUGAUGCUUCCAUUGUCUGGGCCCUUUUCUCCCCAUCAUCUGC